AAGCAGAUUUUCCCCCAGAGCAUCCAGAUAAGAACUCAGUCCACUCAACAUCUUCAGCUUUGUGAUAUUCCAGGCAUAUUGUGCUGAACUUCUGACUUACAGAACUGUGAGUUAAUAAAUGAGUGUUGUUUUAAGCCACUAUAUAACUCAUUUUGUAUUUUCUGAUGUUACUCAGUUAUUCAUGAAAGUAGUCAGUUUUUUUCUUGUAAAUUUGUUUGAGUUCUUUUCAUUAUGGAUAUUAGCCCUUUGUCAGAUGAGUAGAUUGCAAAAAUUUUCUCCCAUUCUGUAGGUUGCCUGUUCACUCUGAUGGUAGUUUCCUUUGCUAUGCAGAAGCUCUUUAGCUUAAUUAGAUCCCAUUUGUCAAUUUUGGCUUUUGUUGCCAUUGCUUUUUGUGUUUUAGACAUGAAGUCCUUGCCCAUGCCUAUGUCCUGAAUGGUAAUGCCUAGGUUUUCUUCUAGGGUUUUUGUGGUUUUAGGUCUAACAUUAAAGUCUUAAAUCCACCUGGAAUUAAUUUUUGUAUAAGGUGUAAGGAAGGGAUCCAGUUUCAGCUUUCAAGACAUAUGCACACGUAUGUUUACUGCGGCACUACUCACAAUAGCAAAGACUUGGAACCAACCCAAAUGUCCAACAACGAUAGACUGGAUUAAGAAAAUGUGGCACAUAUACACCAUGGAAUACAAUGCAGCCAUAAAAAAUGAUGAGUUCAUGUCUUUUGUAGGGACAUGGAUGAAGCUGGAAACCAUCAUUCUCAGCAAACUAUCACAAGGACAAAAAACCAAACACCGCAUGUUCUCACUCAUAGUUGGGAAUUGAACAAUGAGGACACUUGGACACAGGAAGGGGAACAUCACACACCGGGACCUGUUGUGGGGUGGGGGGACGGGGAAGGGAUAGCAUUAGGAGAUAUACCUAAUGUAAAUGACGAGUUAAUGGGUGCAGCACACCAACAUGGCACAUGUAU
rnacentral:lncRNA from 1 species